rnacentral:lncRNA from 10 species
AGAAUGAAAACACAAAGUAAAAAAGAAAAAUAUGUACAAAAAGGAAUGAUUUUUCCAGCCCUAUGUAGCACAAUAAGAAAGCAAUCAUUCAGUGGUGACUUUAAAAAAUGGAUUCUUGCCUGGAUUUUCCAACGAUUUCCUUCUAAGUGAGCGUUUCUCUGCAGAACUGAACUAAUGUAAAGAGACAGUUUGUUCCAGUGCCAGAAAUGAACCAGCAAAAAAAAGGACGGAGGCUCUAUUUUCAUAGGAGGAAGUUAACAAAAUAAUACCCACUCUGUUUCUCUGCAGCCUCUUGUGUCAUUUCAGAAGAAAGUGCCAUAUGCCCAUUGCGUGAUUUGAAGCGUGUAUUCCCAGCCUGACUCUUGGUCACCACUCGUUCUGUUAUUUGCAGUCAGUAACAAAGAUUCAUCCUUGUGUCCAUCAUGCAACAAGGAGAAUCUUUGUCACUUAGUGUAAUUAAUAGCUGGACCUUGCAAAGGAAGGUGGGAGAAGGAAGCCGUUCAUGCAUAGACCUGGAUAAAUUCAGAACAGGCUUUGCGGAUCUUUGCUGCCUUUUGACCAAUUAAGGUGCCAGAGCCCCAGCAGAAGAGGAAAUAUGGUAAACAAAGUGUUUUCUCUGGGGCUGUGUGUGUUAUAAUCCCAAGCUCUGUAACUGUGGUUCAGGAGAGCUCUCUAACUUUCCCUAUCAAGCCAGAUGACCAUCGACUCCCCUCUACGUCUAUGUCCUAUUUCAGUGUAUCCUUCCCACUUUCCUUCCACCACACUGUCUUCACCAGCCUCUAGAUAGAUACCACUAUAGGAUAAAAAUCAAAAAGAGAGGCCUUAUGUUUGAUGAGUGCCUCCCCUAGACUAUGUGGUUAAAUCACUCAGCAAGCUUUCAGAGAAUGUGUAAUGGGCCCUGUUUUCAAAAUGAGAGGACUGAAAAGAGGUUUAGAGAGGCCAGCGCUGAGGUUAGGCUCAGGGAACAGAUAGAAAUAGCCGAUUCAGGACCACAUCAAGGGCUCUCUAAUGCCGGGAUUCUUAGCUCACUUUUCCCUGUAUUGUGAUCUUUUCUUUCACUUUUUUUUUUUUUAAUAGAGAUGGGGUCUUGUUAUAUUUCCCAGGCUGGUCUUGAACUCCUGGCCUCAAGCAAUACUCCUGUCUUGGCCUCCCAAAGUGCUGGGGUUGCAGGCGUGAGCCACUGUACCCAGCCUCCUUAACUUUCUGAACUCCUACUUAUUUAUUUUUGUGACCCUACUUCUUUAUUCUUCCUCCUCCUGUACAAAAAUGGCUGGAUGGAUUCCACUUGUCCCUGGACCUUUAAACUCCUGUCCUCCAUACCUGAACAAAUCCAAUUUAUCUCUCAAAGUUUCAGAGAGUUCCUAAAUACUAAUAGUUCCUCACCAUCAUCUCACUUGCAAUCCGUGCAUUUCAGAGUUCCCUUCCCAGAGGCCAUUUUUGCCUUUAAUUAGCAAAUGCAUACUAUUCUAGGAUCCAUGAGAUUUUUUUCCUUCUAUUUCUGCCCAAGGAGAAAGCAAACACGUACUGCUGCAUUUGCCAUCCUAGGUCCAUAAUCUCUCUGAUCUUUCUUCACCUUUAAAAAUCUCACCUCAUAUAUCUUUUCUUAGGCUCAUCCCUCAAAUAUUCAGGUUAUUUCCCCCAGGCUUCCUCUCACCUCUCUCCUUGUGGCUACACUGGCUAGGAGUGUCCAGCCUCAUUCAAGAGGGGGUCGGAUCUCCUUUCCCUGCCCUGUUGCUUUCCACGGUGGAACCAGCAUCCUCCCUGACUCCCUGCCCCUCCUCAGGAACCACAACUCCCUGUCGCCCUCCUCUGAACAGGAUUGUUCUCCAUCCAUCCUCCUCCCUGCUCAGACCUCCAUCCAUAGCACUGUUUCUAAACCUCCAGCUCCCUCUCCCUUAUCCCAUCUGUGUUAGCCUGUUUUCACACUGCUGAUAAAGACAUACCUGAAACUGGGCAAUUUACAAAAGAAAGAUGUUUAAUUGGACUCACAGUUCCACGUGACUGGGGAGGCCUCACAAUCAUGAUGGAAGGCAAAGAGGAGCAAGACACAUCUUACACGGAUGGCAGCAGGCAAAGAGAGAGCUUGUGCAGAGAAACUUGUUUUUAAAACCAUCAGACCUUGUAAGACUCAUUCACUGUCAUGAGAACAGCACAGGAAAGAUCGGCCCCCUUAAUACAAUCACCUCCCACUGGGGUCCUCCCAUGACGUGUGGGAAUUGUGAGAGUUACAAUUCAAGAUGAGAUUUGGGUGGGGACACAGCCAAACCAUAGCACCAUCUUUUCAAGGAUCCUUUUCCACACAUCUCACAGGGUCUGCUCCUGUCCUAGCUGGCUGAACAGUCAUCCUAGGCUUCCAAAGUAUUGCCAGUCAAUGUUCAUAGCUCUCUUUAUCCAAUUUGGGAACUCAUCACUGCCUCUGAAACCCAGCUGCUUCAUGAUAGGCUGCAGCAAUAACAAUUUUGGAGGCCCAGCCCCUCCAUGAGUUUGUUCUGAUUUGGGGUGUGCCCAUUUGUGCUCUACCUAAGCUCCUGAGGUUAGGGACUCCUGUUAGUCUUAGUGACUCUAUGUGUAUAAUAAAUUAUAAUGCUACAAGUGGGCUUAAAUUCUAAUUCCUUUUUUUUUUUUUUUUUUUUGAGACUGAGUCUUGCUCUGCCGCCAGCCUGGAGUGCAGUGGUGAGAUCUCGGCUCACUGCAACCUCCACCUCCU